ensembl:lncRNA
CAAAAACAGACUCCAUCAGUGAACUGUUGCCAUUUGAUGGCAAAAUGGAUACAACCGUUUCACCAUCUUGUUUUGGAAUAUGGACCAUUGCUGCUUUUUCAGUAGGAUUAUUGGAACCAGUCACCUGCAUGUUCUGUGAUGGGCCGCUACCAAGUGUAGUGUAUUUUUUUUUUCUUUUUUUUUCUCAGGGUCAUGUGCCUUUUUCAUUUAAGUGUCAGCAUUUGUCAGAUGUGUUUAAUAGACCUCUAACCGUUUACCCUAUUUUCAAAUUUGGAGGUGAUUUUUGGAUUUUGCACAUUCUUAACUGACUUAUAGUAGUGGUGGGAAAGCAAGCCAUAACUCUUAAUUGUAUUACUUUAUUUUCAAAACCAAAUGUAGUUUUCAAGCACAAUAUCUACAUUUGCCAGGACAAUAAUGGUUGUUACAUGUGUCCUUUUCUUUUGUUAAGAAAUUGUAAAUGUAAUGUUUUUUGCACAUAUUUUGCACGACAUUCCUGCAUUAGCCUGGCUGUAUAGUAUUCUCUUGAUGCUGGCUUGAUGUAACUCAGAAGGUGUUUUAAGGACCAAAAUAAUGUUGUCUCAGGUUGUAGCAGUCAUGAAUGUUUACUACACACUCUUGAUAACUUGCAUACCAAGUGUUUCUUGUGAAAGAAAAAGGUGCUUUGUUCUAAUAUGAGAUUUGUUUGUGAAUGUGUGCAUGUGUUUGUGUAUACAUUACACUGAAUCUUCUAUUGUUCUAUGACAAUACAGUUGUAAACUAAACGUUUUUGUUUUGCCUUAUUUAUUUUAAAAAUGUUAAAGGAGUAAAUUCUGUAGGUAAGAGAUUAGUAGAAAUCGCCAUACAGAAAUAAUUUUAGCAUGUAGAAUUUAUACAGAAAAGUAUCCAGGAUCAUUAUCAGACUAACUUGAGCAGGAAGCAGGAAGUUAAUUUAACAGAACAACAUUGCAUAUACUUCACAUAAAAAUCUCAUGUUGCUUCAAUAGGUGAGAAUUGAAUACACUUAACAUAAAAGGGACAUUUUAAAGUAACACAAAAAAAAUAAGUUGGGUUAUCAGAAUAAUUUAAUACAAUUAACAUUAAUAAAAUAUUUUGAAUUUACAUGAGAAAAUCAUGUUUGUUUUACAAAUAAAAAUUAAGUACAUUAAAUAGAAAUGA